GGAAAGCAGUGGAAUGAACCCCAGAAUGUUUCCUCCCUGCCUUCCUUACAGGAUUAGGCCAGUAAAUUUCUUCUAACAACCAGUUCUCCAAACUGCUUAGAAUGUUAAAAACUGGUUCUAUCAAAUAGGUGUGAGCUGGUAGAAUCC